UACGUAGGGGGCAAGCGUUGUCCGGAAUCAUUGGGCGUAAAGCGUACCGACAGGUGGUUUAUAAAGUCUUGGGUAAAAGCCGGAAGCUCAACUUCCGCGUUUGCUUAAGAUACUUAUAGACUAGAGGGGCAAAGAGGUGAUUGGAACGAACGGUGUAGUAGUGAAAUGCGUUGAUAUCGUUCGGAACACCGAAAGCGAAAGCAGAAUCACUGGGUGCCACCCUGACACUGCUAGGACGAAAGCGAUGGGGAGGCGAAUGGG
rnacentral:rRNA from 1 species